rnacentral:rRNA from 1 species
ACGCUGGCGGCGUGCCUAACACAUUCAAGUCGAACGGAGUUAUUUCAAUUAAUCCUUCGGGAAGCGUUGAGAUAACUUAGUGGCGGACGGGUGAGUAACGCGUGAGCAACCUGCCCUUGUGUGGGGGAUAACGUUUGGAAACGAACGCUAAUACCGCAUAACCCAAUAGUACGGCAUCGUACAGUUGGCAAAGAUUUAUUGCGCAAGGAUGGGCUCGCGUCCGAUUAGAUAGUUGGUGAGGUAACGGCUCACCAAGUCGACGAUCGGUAGCCGAACUGAGAGGUUGAACGGCCACAUUGGAACUGAGAUACGGUCCAGACUCCUACGGGAGGCAGCAGUGGGGAAUAUUGGGCAAUGGGCGAAAGCCUGACCCAGCGACGCCGCGUGAGGGAAGAAGGUCUUCGGAUUGUAAACCUUUGUUGAUAGGGACGAACAGAUGACGGUACCUAUCGAGGAAGCCACGGCUAACUACGUG